rnacentral:rRNA from 1 species
CCAAUAGCGUAUCUUAAAGUUGUUGCAGUUAAAAAGCUCGUAGUUGAAUUUCGAGACCGGCUUACUGGUCGUGCUAUUGUACGUACUGGUAUAAUCGGUUUCCCCUUUCUGACGAACUAUAAUGCCAUUAAUUUGGUGUUAUAGGGAAUCGGGACUGUUACUUUGAAAAAAUUAGAGUGUUUAAAGCAGGCUCACGCUUGAGUACAUUAGCAUGGAAUAACGGAAUAGGACGUUUGAUUCUAUUUUGUUGGUUUCUAGGAUCGACGUAAUGAUUAAUAGGGAUAGUUGGGGGCAUUAGUAUUCAAUUGUCAGAGGUGAAAUUCUUGGAUUUAUUGAAGACUAACUACUGCGAAAGCAUUUGCCAAGGAUGUUUUCAUUAAUCAAGAACGAAAGUUAGGGGAUCGAAGACGAUCAGAUACCGUCGUAGUCUUAACCAUAAACUAUGCCGACUAGGGAUCGGAUGAUGUUAAUUUUUUAAUGACUCAUUCGGCGCCUUACG